rnacentral:rRNA from 1 species
CCUACGGGGGGCAGCAGUGGGGAAUAUUGCACAAUGGGGGAAACCCUGAUGCAGCGACGCCGCGUGAGUGAGGAAGUAUUUCGGUAUGUAAAGCUCUAUCAGCAGGGAAGAAAAUGACGGUACCUGCCUAAGCAGCCCCGGCUCACUCCGUGCCAGCAGCCGCGGUACUACGUCGGUGGCAAGCGUUAUCCGGAUUUCCUGGUUGUAACGGGCUCGUAGACGGACUUGCAAGUCUGUUGU